rnacentral:lncRNA from 1 species
AUGGCUCCCAGGUUGCUGGGAGCGGGGAGAAGACCCCCCUUUCUCUACUGUCCUGUAGGGUUUUUAUUCCUCUUAGUUGGCGGGGGUGGGCGUGGGGGGGCACCACCGUGGGAUCUGGAGAGCCGUGGUCUUCUCCCCUUGACCUUGUUCAAUUACCCUUAUCGGCCCUUGUCUACUAGGGCCCUGGGGCUGGAAACGUCCUCUCCGUCUCAUUUUUCUUCGUCCUUUUUGUCCGUAGACGGAGUCACGGGGCUUAGGGAUGAAUGUCCAUCUGGGAGCAGGUGCACUCCCUACCCUCAACAAGGCCCGUGGGGAUGCUCGUCCCCGGAGCCCUUAAGCCACAGGCGUUCAUCCGUGGCCACAUCGAAGAAGGUACGGAAGCCCCUGCUCCUGCACCGACGGCCUGGGUGCCUCAAAGCCAUGUGGUCGGAAGGCCAGUUGUACAACGGGCCUCAGCCUCUGGGGCCUGUUCACGGCUGGGAGUCCAGCUGCCCCCUCUCACAGGCAAGACGACCAGGCCGAAGCUUUCCCACACCCUUGACUCUGUCGCCCAGAAGAACGGGGACAGGGGCCCCGCACGCGGUGCUGGACGGAUGCGGGGAACGUGCUGGCGAUCCCGGAUGUCAGGGCCACACAGGCAGCCUGUGGACGUUCCCAGGCUAAGGGUCAAAUCGGAGCUACAGCUGAGGCCUACACCCCAGCCACGGCAACACCGCAUCCGAGCCACUUCUGCAAACCACGCCGCAGCUCUGCAGCCACGCCAGAUUCUCCACCCGCCGAGUGAGGCCAGGAAUCGAAACCUGAAUCCGCAUGGAGACUACGUUGGGGCCUUAACCUGCUGAGCCACAGCGGGGACUCCCAUAGCUUCUAGUUCACCUGCUUCCAUGGUGUCGAGGCAAUUAAGUCUUCUCUUUCUUCUGAUGUCAGUUUGCUGUAUCUUUUUCUACGAAAUUGUUCAUUUCAAAUACAGUUUCAAAUUACUUAGCCUAAGGUUGUUCACCGCAUUCUCUUAUUUUUAAAAAAAUGUUGGGGAGUUCCC